GCGGUUCCUUAGGACAACCACCUGUAGAAAUGCAUGAUUUCUACAAGUGGUUCAGUUAAGAAAACAGCGUGUGAAAAUGCAUCUUCACGGACGGUUCGUAGUUCUGACACCGCCCUUUUUACACCACAGGCGCGUGAUAACUACAACCGCCUGUAGUAUAAAAAAGGGGCGUCGACGUUGUACUCUUUUCUACUAUUGAAAUAAUGAUAUUGUCAAAUUAAAUACUAACAUUAAAGUGACAUUUAAUUAAAAAAAUAAUGUUUAUACAAUUAACACAUCCACGAAGAGCACGGUGUUACUAUGGGAACACAACACUAUCCAACCACUUUAGCAUGGAGUGAGCGGCAGUGACAACCAAAGGCUAGCAAGAUAUUAUGUACCAUGUGAGGAUCCAACAAGAAUGGACUUCCAAAAAUUCAUUCCUAGUCCUUUGCCAUUUUAAUUUAACACUCAAAAUUAUUCUUUGCA
rnacentral:lncRNA from 1 species